rnacentral:tRNA from 1 species
GGGCCAUUAGCUCAGUAGGUAGAGCACCUCCCUUUUAAGGAGGUUGUCUGGUGUUCGAAUCACCAAUGGCUCA